GAUGAACGCUAGCGGGAGGCCUAACACAUGCAAGCCGAGCGGUAGAGUUUCUUCGGAAACUUGAGAUCGGCGCACGGGUGCGUAACACGUGUGCAACCUACCUUUAUCUGGGGGAUAGCCUUUCGAAAGGAAGAUUAAUACCCCAUAAUAUAAUGAUUGGCAUCAAUUAUUAUUGAAAACUCCGGUGGUUAGAGAUGAGCACGCGCAAGAUUAGAUAGUUGGGGAGGUAACGGCUCACAAAGUCAAUUAUCUUUAGGGGUCCUGAGAGGGAGAGCCCCCACGCUAGAACUAAGUCAAGGACAAGACUCCUACGGGACGCAGCAGUGAGGAAGAUACGACAAUGGGUGAGAGCCUGACCCAGCCGUCCCGGGUGAAGGAUGACAGUACUAUGGAUUGUAAACUUCUUUUGGACAGGGAUAAACCGACCCUCGGGAGGGUAGCUGAAGGUACUGGAAGAAUAAGCACCGGCUAACUCCGUG
rnacentral:rRNA from 1 species